CCUACGGGUGGCAGCAGUGGGGGAUAUUGCACAAUGGGGGGAACCCUGAUGCAGCGACGCCGCGUGGGUGAAGGAGCGUUUCGGCGCGUAAAGCCCUAUCGGCAGGGAAGAAGAUGACGGUACCUGACCAAGAAGCCACGGCUAACUACGUCCCAGCAGCCGCGGUAAUACGUAGGGGGCAAGCGUUAUCCGGAUUUACGGGGUGUAAAGGGGGCGCAGACGGCAAGGCAAGCCAGGAGUGAAAGCCCGGUGCCCAACCCCGGGACGGCUCUUGGAACUGCAUGGCUGGAGUACGGGAGGGGCAGGCGGAAUUCCUGGUGUAGCGGUGAAAUGCGUAGAUAUUAGGAGGAACACCGGUGGCGAAGGCGGCCUGCUGG
rnacentral:rRNA from 1 species